rnacentral:lncRNA from 1 species
GUUUUUCUCAGGUCUUUUUUAAUUUAAAUGUUUAAGAGUAAAAAAAUGACUAGAGUACUUUAAUUACAAUAAUUUGAAUGAGCUGGUUUGAUUUGCCUUUUUAAUCCAUUUUUCUCUCUGUAUCCUGGUCUAGCUUCUGGGAGGCUCAAAGAAUGGAGUGACUCAUCAUAGUGUCUGCUGCGUCAUCAGGAAAGAGGGUGCCCAAGGGACAGAGGCUAGACUGGGAUUUGAAGUUUCUGGAUUCUAACCACACUGGCUGUCUCUACAUGGGGCUGCAUCUUGAUUGUGGUUUAUAGGUAAUCACUUAAUUUCACGAUCUUUGCACAUUUUCCUUUCAAAAAUGGCAACAAUUAUCCUUUAUUCUUCCAUCUCCCUUCUAGGAUAUGGCAAAGAGUCAUUAUUAUUAAAAAAAAAAAAAAAGAAAUUGAAAAAAAAAAAAGAAAUUGUCAAUCUGUCCAGAGGUAUUUGCUAUAUAAAUACAGAAAACAAUUCUCAUGAUUUCCUUUGCCUUUGGGGCUGUGCCUGUAGGGUAAGUAGGCACUUUCUCAAUGAAGGGGGCGUUUUGAAAUUCCUUCCAAAGAAGUCUGGCAUUCAUUCUAAAUUGACCUGGAGGCUGAGGAGCCCUGGAGUUUUUCCAGCUAGUUCAAACUCUGCCAGAAGUCACUGCCUGCAAACAGCCUACCACAGUCUUGGGAAUGAACUCUGACAAACUGACCAUCAUAACAGUUGAUGCUUCUCAUUGAGGAUGGAAGAAUGGGGCUCCAAACUUUGUUAUACUGUUCUUGAAAGGUAAUCAGCUUCCUUGCAUGAGUAGAUGGAACAGGUCUGUUUAUGUUACUUUGAGGUUUACCAGUAAAGCACCACAAUCUCUGCAAGCUGAGGAAUUGAGGGGAAAUAUUGCAUGAGUCUUGGUCUGUUUCUUACAAUUGCCUUGUGAAGGUGGCUGGCAGCCAUUAAUAGUGCUGAUUUUAUAAAUACAGGAUGAACAAUUAA